rnacentral:rRNA from 1 species
AAACCUGUCCCGAAGACUGGAAUAACCCGAGGAAACUCGGGCUAAUACCGGAUAUCCCCACCGGAUCGCAUGGUCUGGUGAGGAAAUGCUCCGGCGCUUCGGGAGGGUCUCGCGGCCUAUCAGCUAGUUGGUGAGGUAACGGCUCACCAAGGCAUCGACGGGUAGCUGGUCUGAGAGGACGAUCAGCCACACUGGGACUGAGACACGGCCCAGACUCCUACGGGAGGCAGCAGUGGGGAAUCUUGCGCAAUGGGCGAAAGCCUGACGCAGCCACGCCGCGUGAGGGAUGAAGGCUUUCGGGUUGUAAACCUCUUUCAGCAGGGACGAAAAUGACGGUACCUGCAGAAGAAGCCCCGGCCAACUACGUGCCAGCAGCCGCGGUAACACGUAGGGGGCAAGCGUUGUCCGGAUUUAUUGGGCGUAAAGAGCUCGUAGGCGGUUCAGUAAGUCGGGUGUGAAAACUUGAGGCUCAACCUCAAGAGGCCACUCGAUACUGCUGUGACUGGAGUCCGGUAGAGGA